rnacentral:rRNA from 1 species
CUACGGGCCGCUGCAGUGGGGAAUUUUGCGCAAUGGGGGGAACCCUGACGCAGCAAUACCGCGUGAGUGAAGAAGGCCUUUGGGUCGUAAAGCUCUUUUCUGAAGGAAGAUAGUGACGGUACUUCAGGAAUAAGCACCGGCUAACUCCGUGCCAGCAGCCGCGGUAAUACGGAGGGUGCGAGCGUUGUUCGGAUUUACUGGGCGUAAAGGGCACGUAGGCGGCCUGGCAAGUUAAGGGUGAAAUCCCGGGGCUUAACUCCGGAACUGCUCUUAAAACUGCCAAGCUAGAGAUAGUCAGAGGCGGGUGGAAUUCCUGGUGUAGAGGUGAAAUUCGUAGAUAUCAGGAGGAACACCGGUGGCGAAGGCGGCCCGCUGGGGCUAUUCUGACGCUAAGGUGCGAAAGCGUGGGGAGCGAACGGGAUUAGAUACCCGCGUAGUC